rnacentral:rRNA from 1 species
GAUGAACGCUGGCGGUAUGCUUAACACAUGCAAGUCGAACGGAGUACUUUCGGGUACUUAGUGGCGGACGGGUGAGUAACGCGUGAGAACAUGCCUUUAGAUUGGGGACAACAGUUGGAAACGACUGCUAAUACCGAAUGUGCCGAAAGGUGAAAGAUUAAUUGUCUAAAGAUUGGCUCGCGUCAGAUUAGCUAGUAGGUGGUGUAAGAGACUACCUAGGCGACGAUCUGUAGCUGGUCUGAGAGGACGAUCAGCCACACUGGAACUGAGACACGGUCCAGACUCCUACGGGAGGCAGCGGUGGGGAAUUUUCCGCAAUGGGCGAAAGCCUGACGGAGCAAUACCGCGUGAGGGACGAAGGCUUUUUGGGUCGUAAACCUCUUUUCUCAAGGAAGACACAGGACGGUACUUGAGGAAUAAGCAUCGGCUAACUCUGUGCCAGCAGCCGCGGUAAU